rnacentral:rRNA from 1 species
AUUGAACGCUGGCGGCAGGCCUAACACAUGCAAGUCGAGCGGAUGAAGGGAGCUUGCUCCUGGAUUCAGCGGCGGACGGGUGAGUAAUGCCUAGGAAUCUGCCUGGUAGUGGGGGAUAACGUCCGGAAACGGGCGCUAAUACCGCAUACGUCCUGCGGGAGAAAGUGGGGGAGCUUCGGACCUCACGCUAUCAGAUGAGCCUAGGUCGGAUUAGCUAGUUGGUGGGGUAAAGGCCUACCAAGGCGACGAUCCGUAACUGGUCUGAGAGGAUGAUCAGUCACACUGGAACUGAGACACGGUCCAGACUCCUACGGGAGGCAGCAGUGGGGAAUAUUGGACAAUGGGCGAAAGCCUGAUCCAGCCAUGCCGCGUGUGUGAAGAAGGUCUUCGGAUUGUAAAGCACUUUAAGUUGGGAGGAAGGGCAGUAAGUUAAUACCUUGCUGUUUUGACGUUACCAACAGAAUAAGCACCGGCUAACUUCGUG